rnacentral:rRNA from 1 species
UACGUAGGGUGCGAGCGUUAAUCGGAAUUACUGGGCGUAAAGCGUGCGCAGGCGGUUUUGUAAGCCAGAUGUGAAAUCCCCGGGCUUAACCUGGGAAUGGCAUUUGGGACUGCAAGGCUUGAGUGCGGCAGAGGAGACUGGAAUUCCUGGUGUAGCAGUGAAAUGCGUAGAUAUCAGGAGGAAUACCGAUGGCGAAGGCAGGUCUCUGGGCUGACACUGACGCUCAUGCACGAAAGCGUGAGGAGCAAACAGG